GCAUUGAUGGUUAAGUGGUAUAAUAGCUGCCUUCCAAGCAGCCGUCCCGGGUUCGAUUCCCGGUCAAUGCA
rnacentral:tRNA from 1 species